AUGGCAGUGACUGGUUGCUUCGUCUGUGGUCUGGAUCAGGGAGGACUUCUGAGAUCCAGUGUGGCCCAGAAAGUUAUUCAAAACCAGCCAGAUAUGUUCAAGCAAGAGGGGUCAUCAGUCGACCUGAAGUGUCAGUACGAAACAAGUGGGAGGAGUACAUACUACUUUUAUUGGUACAAGCAGCUUCCUGAUGGAAACAUGACUUACAUUAUUCAUCACUCUUCUUCUGUUCAAAAAGCAACAGAGGGUCGUUAUUUUGCAACCUUCAUGAAAAAAGACAGAGGCAUCAUCCUCACCAUUUCACCCUUGCAACUGGAUGAUGCAGCAAAGUAUUUCUGUGCUGUCUGGAAAAGCACAGUGUUUGAAGUGAUAGUAAAAGUUGAACAAAAACCCCAGGACUCAAGGGCAGCCAGAACCCAGGAGUCAAGUUGA